GAUCAAUAUAGUUGGGGUGCAGAUACAGGCCUUCCCCUAGGGAAAACACUUGCAUCAGUAUUAGUGAGAGACCAAGUACACAUCUGAAGCAUUCCUGUGCUUUCUGUCCACUUGUCAGGUGAGUUGCCACGUAUGACUGUCCAUCAGCCAGGAGAUGAACCCCCACCCGUGAGGCAGUGACUCAAGGUGCAAGGGAGUCCGGCAAGAAGUGUGGCGCACCCGAGUUGCUGCCACUGCUUUUUGGAUCACCCAGCACGGUCUUCUGAAGUCUUCCUGAAAGCAUCCCUGGUGAUCUGUGAGCCCUUGGUCGUGUUGCCCGCCUUCUUCCUGUGGUCUUGCUGGAUGCUCAUUGUCCCUGUGAGCCGAGGCCCUGGAGGCUUCAGAUUUAGGUGAUGUUGCCACGUAUGACUGUCCAUCAGCCAGGAGAUGAACCCCCACCCGUGAGGCAGUGACUCAAGGUGCAAGGGAGUCCCGGCAGAAGUGUGGCGCACCCGAGUUGCUGCCACUGCUUUUUGGAUCACCCCAG
rnacentral:lncRNA from 1 species